GUCCCCUUCGUCUAGAGGCCUAGGACACCGGGUUUUCAUCCCGGCAACGGGGGUUCGAAACCCCCAGGGGACGCCA
rnacentral:tRNA from 4 species